rnacentral:rRNA from 1 species
UGCAGUCGAACGGUGAAGCAGAGCUUGCUCUGUGGAUCAGUGGCGAACGGGUGAGUAACACGUGAGCAAUCUGCCCCUGACUCUGGGAUAAGCGCUGGAAACGGCGUCUAAUACCGGAUACGAGCUGCGACCGCAUGGUCAGUAGCUGGAAAGAAUUUCGGUCAGGGAUGAGCUCGCGGCCUAUCAGCUUGUUGGUGAGGUAAUGGCUCACCAAGGCGUCGACGGGUAGCCGGCCUGAGAGGGUGACCGGCCACACUGGGACUGAGACACGGCCCAGACUCCUACGGGAGGCAGCAGUGGGGAAUAUUGCACAAUGGGCGCAAGCCUGAUGCAGCAACGCCGCGUGAGGGAUGACGGCCUUCGGGUUGUAAACCUCUUUUAGCAGGGAAGAAGCGAAAGUGACGGUACCUGCAGAAAAAGCGCCGGCUAACUACGUGCCAGCAGCCGCGGUAAUACGUAGGGCGCAAGCGUUAUCCGGGAAUUAUUGGGCGUAAAGAGCUCGUAGGCGGUCUGUCGCGUCUGCUGUGAAAACCCGAGGCUCAACCUCGGGCCUGCAGUGGGUACGGGCAGACUAGAGUGCGGUAGGGGAGAUUGGAAUUCCUGGUGUAGCGGUGGAAUGCGCAGAUAUCAGGAGGAACACCGAUGGCGAAGGCAGAUCUCUGGGCCGUAACUGACGCUGAGGAGCGAAAGGGUGGGGAGCAAACAGGCUUAGAUACCCUGGUAGUCCACCCCGUAAACGUUGGGAACUAGUUGUGGGGUCCAUUCCACGGAUUCCGUGACGCAGCUAACGCAUUAAGUUCCCCGCCUGGGGAGUACGGCCGCAAGGCUAAAACUCAAAGGAAUUGACGGGGACCCGCACAAGCGGCGGAGCAUGCGGAUUAAUUCGAUGCAACGCGAAGAACCUUACCAAGGCUUGACAUAUAGAGGAAACGUCUGGAAACAGUCGCCCCGCAAGGUCUCUAUACAGGUGGUGCAUGGUUGUCGUCAGCUCGUGUCGUGAGAUGUUGGGUUAAGUCCCGCAACGAGCGCAACCCUCGUUCUAUGUUGCCAGCACGUAAUGGUGGGAACUCAUGGGAUACUGCCGGGGUCAACUCGGAGGAAGGUGGGGAUGACGUCAAAUCAUCAUGCCCCUUAUGUCUUGGGCUUCACGCAUGCUACAAUGGCCGGUACAAAGGGCUGCAAUACCGUGAGGUGGAGCGAAUCCCAAAAAGCCGGUCCCAGUUCGGAUUGAGGUCUGCAACUCGACCUCAUGAAGUCGGAGUCGCUAGUAAUCGCAGAUCAGCAACGCUGCGGUGAAUACGUUCCCGGGUCUUGUACACACCGCCCGUCAAGUCAUGAAAGUCGGUAACUUCUGAAGCCGGUGGCCCAACCCUUGUGGAGGGAGCCGUC